rnacentral:rRNA from 1 species
UACCAGCUCUCCGAGUGGUAGGGAUGAUUAUUGGGCUUAAAGCGUCCGUAGCCGGCUUAGCAAGUCUCCUGUUAAAUUCAGCGACCUAAUCGUUGAGCCGCGGGAGAUACUACUAGGCUAGGAGGCGGGAGAGGUCAACGGUACUUCCGGGGUAGGGGUGAAAUCCUAUAAUCCCGGGAGGACCACCAGUGGCGAAGGCUGUUGACUAGAACGCGCUCGACGGUGAGGGACCAAAGCUGGGGGAGCGAACCGGAUUAGAUACCCGGGUAGUCCCAGCUGUAAACGAUGCGAGCUAGGUGUUGGGGUGGCUACGUGCCACUUCAGUGCCGCAGGGAAGCCAUUAAGCUCGCCGCCUGGGGAGUACGGCCGCAAGGCUGAAACUUAAAGGAAUUGGCGGGGAGCACCACAAGGCGUGAAGCUUGCGGUUC